CGAGCCCAAUCGUGGGGGAUAACGCAGCGAAAGCUGUGCUAAUACCGCCUACUAUCUCCGGAUGAAACCAGGGGAUCGCAAGACCUUGCGCGAAUGGUGCGGCCGAUGGCAGAUUAGGUAGUUGGUGAGGUAAAGGCUCACCAAGCCUUCGAUCUGUAGCUGGUCUGAGAGGACGACCAGCCACACUGGGACUGAGACACGGCCCAGACUCCUACGGGAGGCAGCAGUGGGGAAUUUUGGACAAUGGGCGCAAGCCUGAUCCAGCCAUGCCGCGUGCAGGAUGAAGGCCUUCGGGUUGUAAACUGCUUUUGUACGGAACGAAACGGCCUUUUCUAAUAAAGAGGGCUAAUGACGGUACCGUAAGAAUAAGCACCGGCUAACUACGUGCCAGCAGCCGCGGUAAUACGUAGGGUGCAAGCGUUAAUCGGAAUUACUGGGCGUAAAGCGUGCGCAGGCGGUUAUGUAAGACAGUUGUGAAAUCCCCGGGGCUCAACCUGGGAACUGCAUCUGUGACUGCAUAGCUAGAGUACGGUAGAGGGGGGAUGGAAUUCCGCGUGUAGCAGUGAAAUGCGUAGAUAUGCGGAGGAACACCGAUGGGCGAAGCAAUCCCCUGGACCUGUACUGACGCUCAUGCACGAAAGCGUGGGAGCAAACAGGAUUAGAUACCCUGGUAGUCCACGCCCUAAACGAUGUCAACUGGUUGUUGGGAAUUCACUUUCUCAGUAACGAACCUAACGCGUGAAGUUGACCGCCUGGGGAGUACGGCCGCAAGGUGAAACUCAAAGGAAUGGACGGGGACCCGCACAAGCGGUGGGAUGAUGUGGUUUAAUUCGAUGCAGCGCGAAAACCUUUACCCACCUUU
rnacentral:rRNA from 1 species